rnacentral:lncRNA from 1 species
CUCUACUUAAUUAAUAUAAGUGAAGUAAAUAAUGAAAGAGAUAUGGCCUGAGCGUCGAGGUCGGCCCGGUGAAGUGGUCGCGUGGUAAUGCUGACAAAGGGAUGUACGCCGAGGCGACUCCCCAAUCGUAGGCAGGACGACGUUGUUGGCCCCAUAGAGUUGACCGCGUGACGUAGUCAAAGGUGAUUACCUGCGCACAUAAAAUAGUGCAGUCCAAAAAUAAAAAAUCUUCUAUUUAAUUGACAUACGUGAUUUUUUUUGAAUAAAUAUGACCUGGGCGACAAGGUCAGCCCGGCGGAGCCGCAAUGUGAAAAAGUUGACACAGGG